rnacentral:rRNA from 1 species
CCUACGGGAGGCAGCAGUGGGGAAUAUUGCACAAUGGGCGAAACCCUGAUGCAGCGACGUCGCGUGAGUGAAGAAGGAAUUCGUUACGUUAAGCUCUAUCAGCAGGGGAGUAACACUGACCUAACGAUCAGCAUACGGUACCUUAGUAAGAAUCCCCGGCUAACUACGUGCCACCAGCCGCGGUAUUACGGAGGGGGCAAGCGUUAUCCGGAUUUAAUGGGUGGAAAGGGAGCGUAGACGGGGGGCUAAGUCUGGUGUGAAAUGCUGCAGCUUAACUGCGGAACUGCAUUGGAAACUGGCGAUCUAGAGUGCGGGAGGGGUAAGCGGAAUUCCUGGUGUAGCGGUGAAAUGCAUAGAUAUCACGCAGAACUCCGAUUGCGAAGGCAGCAUAC